GUUGACCUCGGAUCAGGUAGGAAUACCCGCUGAACUUAAGCAUAUCAAUAAGUCG
rnacentral:rRNA from 1 species